rnacentral:misc_RNA from 1 species
UCCGAGUUGACCCCGGCAGUCUCUUAUGAGUCCCCACCAUUACGUGCUGGCAACAUAAGACGAGGGUUGCGCUCGUUGCGGGACUUAACCCAACAUCUCACGACACGAGCUGACGACAGCCAUGCACCACCUGUACACCGACUAAAAGGGGCUACAUCUCUGCAGCUUUCCGGUAUAUGUCAAACCCAGGUAAGGUUCUUCGCGUUGCAUCGAAUUAAUCCACAUGCUCCGCCGCUUGUGCGGGCCCCCGUCAAUUCCUUUGAGUUUCAAUCUUGCGACCGUACUCCCCAGGCGGGAUACUUAAUGCGUUAGCUGCGGCACGGAAUCCGUUGAUAAGACCCCACACCUAGUACCCAACGUUUACGGCGUGGACUAC